rnacentral:rRNA from 1 species
AUCUAUUAGGUUUUUGGUUUUUCACGUGAAAACCAUGCAAGAAUGUGUUGUUUAUUUCUUUGAUGUUUUUUGUUUAGUGUAGUGGCUGCAAGUGGGAGAUUAGGUUGUAUUAGGAUGGGUUGCAGCCAUGUUUUAGCUGCCCAUGCCUCUCUUUUGGUGGAGAAGUCUUUGUGGCCCCCACUUGCCAUCCAUCUUUAAUGGUGAUUUGCUUAGGUUUGUAGGAGGCCAUUAUGCCCCUUUGUAGCUCGUGGGAAGGAGGGUUUUAACCUCCCUUUCUCAGCAUCUUGCAGGGUAGAAAAUGUUGAAUGUUGAAGCUUGAAGCUCUCCCCGUUUUCUCUCACGGCAAAGCAAAUUCAAGGUGAGUAAUAUCCUUGAUCUUUGGUUUGUAACGGUGUUGGUGCCUUGCUAGAGCCACUAAGCCCUAUUCCAAUCUCCCUUCCUCACUUGUUUAGGAUCAAAGGCGAGUUUGGAAGUCCCAUAGCUAACCUUCCGUUUGUUAUUGUGAUUGUGUUGUUGCUUGUGUGUUGGUUGCUGUUUUUAUUUCUACCCGAGUGGAUUUCGUGCACUAAAAGUCCACUCUGUGUCAUUUUCUAUUUUUCGUGAGUAAAAACCCUAAAUUUUUUGUUGUGAAUUCUUCUUUCAUGGCCUGAAAUUUCUGUUCUUUCCUUUUACCAAAACCCUUCGCCCAUCAAAAGUUGUACUUACAACUUCCCCCUCAUUCUGCCCGAGUUCCCGAAAUCGAACAGUUUCCGUCCAUCCAUUUUCCAACCUACAUAUCUCCUAACCUACCGUGUCUUUUUUCAUCAAACCACUUGCAUUUUCUUUCCCUUUCAUUGAAGUUGUUUUCUACCAAUUUUUACAUUCCCAGGUUGCCUGCAUUUGAAGUUGUGCAGAAAUCUUUACCCCUCCAUGUCAAUGUUUUCUGUUUUGUGUCUGUUUGUACACUCAAAAGUAUUCCCGUGCCAUUUUAAGUCCUCACGUGUUUUCAAGCACCACACGUCGCGCGGUGUCCAGUAUGUCCUCGACGACCCUUGAAAAUUUGGAGGACCGAGUGCCUCCCACGCCCGAUUGUACUCAUAACCGCAUCAGGUCUCCAAGGUGAACAACCUCUGGUUGAUGGAACAAUGUAGGCAAGGGAAGUCGGCAAAAUGGAUCCGUAACCUCAGGAAAAGGAUUGGCUCAGAGGGCUAGGCACGGGGGUCCUUGUCCCGAAUCCAUCGGUUGUCGAUGGACUACUCGAACUGCUCUCGCGGCUAAAGCAGGUCGUCGCGUGCCUGCCGGGGGACGGACUGGGAACGGCUCCUUCGGGGGCCUUCCGUGAGCAUCGAACAGUCGACUAAGAACUGGUAUGGAUAAGGGGAAUCCGAUUGUUUAAUUAAAAAAAAGCAUUGCGAUGGUCCUUGCGAGUGCUCACGCAAUGUGAUUUCUGCCCAGUGCUCUGAAUGUCAAAGUGAAGAAAUUCAACCAAGUGCGGGUAAACGGCGGGAGUAACUAUGACUCUCUUAAGGUAGCCAAAUGUCUCGUCAUCUAAUUAGUGACACGUAUGAAUGGAUUAACGAGAUUCCCAUUGUCCCUGUAUACUAUCCAGCAAAACCACAGCCAAGGGAACGAGCUUGGCAGAAUCAGCGGGGAAAGAAGACCCUGUUAAGCUUGACUCUAGUCUGACUUUUUGAAACGACUUGAGAGGUGUAGGAUAAGUCGGAGCCGAAAACGGCGAAAGCAAAAUACCACUACUUUUAAUGUUAUUUUACUGAUUCCGUGAAUCGGAAGCGAGGCAACUCCCCUCUUUUUGGACCCAAGGCCCGCCUCGGUGGGUCGAUCCAGUCGAAAGACAUUGUCAGGUGGGGAGUUUUGCUGGGCCUGCACAUCUAUUAAAAGAUAAUGAACAGAAAUCUCGUGCGGAACAAAAAGGUAAAAGCUCGUUUGAUUCUGAUUUCAGGUACAAAUACGAACUGUGAAAGCGUGGCCUAUCGAUCCUUUAGACCUUCGAAAUUUGAAGCUAGAGGUGUCAGAAAAGUUACCAUAGGGAUAACUGGCUUGUGGUAGCCAAGCUUUCAUAGCGACGUUGCUUUUUGAUCCUUCGAUGUUGGCUCUUCCUAUCAUUGUGAAGCACAAUUCACCAAGUGUUGGAUUGUUCACUCACCAAUAGGGUACGUGAGCUGGGUUUAGACCGUCGUGAGACAGGUUAGUUUUAUCCUACUGAUGACAGUGUCGCAAUAGUAAUUCAACCUAGUACGAGAGGAACCGUUGAUUCUUACAAUUGGUCAUCGCGCUUGGUUAAAAAGCCAGUGGCGCAAAGCUACUGUGCGCUGGAUUAUGACUGAACGCCUCUAAGUCGGAAUCUGGGCUAGAAGCGACACACGUGCCCGCUGCCUGAUCGCCGACCAGCAGUAGGGGCCCCCGGCCGCCAAGGGCACGCGUCGUUGGCCAAGCCCUCGCAACCGAGCCAUUGCGCAGGCCGCCUUGAAGUCUUAUUUCAACCGA